CCUACGGGUGGCAGCAGUGAGGAAUAUUGGUCAAUGGUCGGGAGACUGAACCAGCCAAGCCGCGUGAGGGAUGAAGGUACAGAGUAUCGUAAACCUCUUUUGUCAGGGAACAAAGGCGGGGACGUGUCCCCGGAUGAGUGUACCUGAAGAAAAAGCAUCGGCUAACUCCGUGCCAGCCGCCGCGGUAAUACUGAGGAUGCGAGCGUUGUCCGGAUUUAUUGGGGUUAAAGGGUGCGCAGGUGGGCUGGUAAGUGAGCCGUUAAAGCCCGGGGCUCAACCCCCGCCCCGCCGUUGAACCGGGCAGUCUCGAGUUGGAGAGAGGUAAGCGGAAUGCGCGGUGUAGCGGUGAAAUGCAUAGAUAUCGCGAAGAACACCGAUGGCGAAGGCAGCAUGCCGGCUCCACACUGACGCUGAGGCACGAAAGCGUGGGUAUCGAACAGGAUUAGAUACCCCAGUAGUC
rnacentral:rRNA from 1 species